GUUUAAUGUCAUGCGCAAAGGCUCUUAAUGCUAGCGGGAUAAUUUGCAUACAGUUUCAAAUGCGGAAAUCCUUGAUUGACGUUUGACCAUCUAACUUUUAAUCUUCAGCGUUAGGAUUUUCCUUGAAGUCAAGAUCAAGUCAGGCGGAUAUUAUCGAGCUCUCGCCGUCGCUAGUUACCGAGGAAUGAGUCGAGUGGGUCACAGAAUUUUACAGAUAUCACGAUAUCAAAUCCAUCUGUUUCUAUAAUCAGACUUCAGCAAGGCUUUGUGAAAUGUCUAUAUUUAAAGGCACAAAGAAGGGUAAAGGUGGAAGUUUGACCGAGAAACUGGUCUUCUACACAGGAUCAGAAUAUGAUUACUGUAGUCAUGACUCCCUCAGAGAGAAAAUGAGCGAACAUAAAGGGAUUGACCACUCCGAGAAACUACAAAAAAUGUGGCUUUUUAAAAGACCUCUGAGUGAAUGGCAACGUACCCAGCUUGUUUGGAACCAUCAGUUUGUCGUGGUAGAUUCACCUGGUUGGUAUUGGUCCCUUGAGAGAGAAGGGGAAACGCUUCUCCUUCAAAGGAACGUAAAGUAUACCGUCGUUAAAGAUUAUGAAGAAGGAUGCCCCAGAUACGCUCCAGUAGUCGAAAUAAAACAUGGUUAUUGCAAAGGAACAAUGAAAGAUUUGAUUGAGUUUCUUUAUCGCAAGGGAGAGCUAAAGACUAAUUACGAUUGGGUGUUCAACAAUUGUAAAACGUUCGCAAAUAGUGUGUUCAAUGAAUUUGUGGUAGAGGGUAC